rnacentral:lncRNA from 1 species
UUUUUUUUUGUUUUAAUGGAUAGAUCAUUGUAAUCCUGAGCAUGGCAAAGCCAAACAUCACCUGUCAAAGUAAAAAGCCUGCGAGACUAAAGGUUCAUUUGGGAGGGUUUAUUUGAUCUUUGCCUUUACCUGAGAUAGAGCAUUGUAUCGGAAGCUAUUUUGCAAAAUAAGAUAAAAAUGAAUUAGAAGUCGGAUACCGUUUUAAAAGAAGUCCUUCCAAAUGGCACUUAACUCGGCAGCUAACUCUGUACCCUUCAGUUUCUACAAAAGUUCACUAGGAAAAAAACAUAUACUUGUAACCAUACUAAAGGAGCACAGUAUUCUACGGAGUACGACCUAUCAUUGAACAAGCACAGAUUAAGAAAGAAGACGAAUCUAAUCCCAAGAAAGCAGUGAAGCAUCACACCAGCUGAUAGCACUUUAUUUUUUAUUUUAUUUUAUUUGCCCAUAUAAAGAGAGUGAUAGUGUAGCUCUGAAACACUACUGGACUGCCAUCCUUUGUACGUUGCCUGCUCCCUCCAUGUCCAGCUCAGCCUUUGGAGACACCACCUGUCCGUUGCUCCAGUCGCCUCUUCCUCUGCCACCCCCGUGAUGCGCCGCGCUGCUGCACUACUAGUACUAGUUGACACUCGCUGAGUGAGCUCUGACCUCUGAGCUGGGACAAUACCACAGAACACCGGCAACAAGCGGCCAUAGACCGCAAGAAACGCGAAGCUCUUCCCGCCGUUUAUUCGCGCCCGUUGUUCUGAUAACCAUUGAUCUGAGCUCUGAAGAAGGUCUUCCUGGCCUCUUCAUUGCUGCUGCUUCGGCGACUGCAAGGUGACAUUAAGUUCGUUCACGGUUUUCUUGUGAAGUGCUAGUAAUCUUGGCGCCUAGUGGUAGCGAGCGGUUCUUGCAACGGGUAGCAGCAGGGUUCAUUGGUUUCUCUUUCAGUGCUUUGUUGACCAGGCAUGGGGGGAGAUGCUAGUUUGCUUGCCAGCCGGGUGCCCAGGUGCUUAGAAGUUUGGAGUUCACUCUGCUCACUGUUUUCUAGUGUCCGAUAGCUGUCUCGACCUCCAAGAAGCUUUGCUCACUUUCUUUUUCUUUACCUCCUUACAUUUAAACCUCUGAAGUCUGAACUUUAGUGCCGCAUCUCUGCUGCUGCUGAUCAAGGGGGAGACGAGCUCGUUAGUUUUGCUUCUUGAUGAUGUUUUCUCCUCCUAUUUACCCACGUCUGGCUAUUCAUUCUAUUGAUGCCGUUACUGUUCUUGGUCAGGAGAAACCGAUCCAAGAUCAGGCAAAGACAGGCCUAGCUUCGUUGAUAAGCUUUUGCACUCCGCUGGUUCGUGUUGCUUGAUAAAGAACAGAGUGGAGCAGUGACUACAGUGUUUCUUGAUCGAGAAAUCCUCCCAUCUCCAAUGGCGAGGCCGGACCAUCUCCUGCUCAUCUUCUUCUCGGUGCUUCUUGCGUUGCUCCCGGAGACCACACAGCUCCAGCCUUCGCAGGUAUGGACUCUGAUCAAGAUCCAGCAGCUCCUGAACGAUCCUCCAAUGCUCAGCCACUGGCGCCACAGCACCGACUUCUGUGGCCGCGCCGGCGGCUUCAUGGGCCCUACCGGCUCGGCUGCUGUCCUGUGCUACGGUGACACCGUGACGCAGCUCCACAUCGCCGGCGCCCCGGGCUCCCCGCCGCUGCCCAGGAACUUCUCCGUCGGCGCACUGGUCACGACGCUGUCCAGGCUCCCCGACCUCAAGGUGCUCACGCUCUCCAGCGUCGGCCUCUGGGGCCCCCUGCCAGGGAAGCUCGGCCGGCUCGCCGCGCUGGAGAUCGUCAACGUCAGCGGGAACUACCUCUACGGCGACAUCCCAAGGGGCAUGUCGCGGCUCGCCGGCCUCCAGACGCUGGUCCUCGACGACAACAUACUCGGCGGCGAGCUGCCGGCGUGGAUCGGCACGCUGCCGUCGCUGACCGUGCUGAGCCUGCGGAACAACACGUUCCGCGGCGCCGUGCCGGAGUCCAUCGGGAGCAUGCCGUCGCUGAGGUCGCUCGUGCUCGCCUCCAACAACCUGUCCGGGAACCUGCCGGACAUGAGCCGGCUGACCAACCUCCAGGCGAUCGACGUCAGCGGCAACUCGCUCGGGCCAGCGUUCCCCAAGCUCGGGAGGAAGGUGGUCACCGUCGUGCUGAGCCGGAACAGGUUCGGCGGCGGCCUUCCGGAGGCGCUGGGCUCGUUCUACCUGCUGGAGCGGCUGGACGUGUCCUGGAACAGGUUCGUCGGUCCGUUCACGCCGGCGCUGCUGUCCCUGCCGUCCAUCCGGUACCUGAGCAUCGCCGGGAACAGGUUCACCGGAACGCUGUCCGACAAGGCGCUGUGCGGCGACAACCUCCGGUUCGUCGACCUGUCGUUGAAUCUCCUCAUGGGGAGCGUGCCAGCCUGCUUGAGAUCACCGGACAGGAAGCCGGACACGGUGGUGCUCGUCUCGACCAACUGCUUGGACAGCAGCGAUGGUUCACAACGCCCGUCACCGAUCUGUCAGAACCAAGCCUUGGCCGUGGGGAUAAUGCCCGGCAAGGAGAGGAGGAACGCUGCAAGCAAGGCAGGCUUCGUCGCCGGCAUUGUGAUGGCGACCCUUGUAGCCGUUUCAGUUGUCGGUUUUAUCGUCUUCUUCACCGUGAGGAAGGCAGCAACGAAAGGUUCAAAGGCAAGGACUCUGGCGACUUCAGAGGAAGAAAGUUCUUCGACUGGAUACCCUUCCAAGUUGCUCGCUGAUGCACGUAUGAUCUCAGGCUCCUAUGCAUAGAAUUGCUUCUUUAUCAGUUCAUUCUGAUGUCGAAAUCGCUAACUUCAGCUUUUCUCUGGGAAUUUGUAACAAAAAAGGUUACAUAUCACAGACAGUGAAGCUGGGAGCUCUGGGGAUCCCAUCAUACAGAUCAUUUUCUUUGGUCGAGCUUGAAGCUGCAACUAACAACUUCGAAAACUCUUACCUACUGGGACAAGACUCUCUUGGCGAGGUAUGAUGUCAUCUUCUUGUUUGCUCACUUCACUGUCAAGAGGACAUCUGAUGUAUGCAGUUUACUGUCCCCUGUUCCUGUUAUGUUUAUCAGUAUCAGCUCACGUGAAUACUCGAUCAUCAUGUUUUCAUUUGAAAUGCCAUGGCCCAUGGAAUCACAUUUAUAUAACUGUAUCGUGCUUUACUAUCAGAUGUACCGAGGAAGGUUAGGCAAUGGCACCCCAGUGACGAUCAGGACUCUGAAGAUCAAGAGGAGCCAAACUACCCAAAGCUUAAACCGUCACAUUGAUACCAUCUCUAGGCUCAGGCAUCAAAACUUGGUCAGCGCUCUAGGACACUGCUUUGAGUAUGAUCUUGACGAUUCCACUGUGACCCAGUUGUACAUCGUGUUCGAGUACGUGCAAAAUGGGAACCUUAGAAGCAGGAUCUCGCGUAAGUUCUUUUCCUCCUGCAUUGGUUUCACUUACUCUGAUGACGCAGACACUGAAUGAUAUUCUGCUUUCUGAACUGAAUUUCACCAGAAGGAACUGAAGGAUGCAAGCUUACCUGGUCACAAAGGAUAUCAGCUGCCAUCGGUGUCGCCAAGGGUAUCCAGUUCUUGCACGGAGGGAUCAUACCUGGCCUAGUUGGAAAUGAUCUGAGGAUCACCAAUAUUCUUCUAGAUCAGAAUCAUGUUGCCAAAAUCGGCAACUACAAUAUCCCAAUCCUAGCAGAGGCCAUGAAAUCUGAGGUAGAUGGGCGAAAACUAAAUUAAUGCUUUGACAUUGAGCUACUUCUAGUAACUUUUUGGGUGUUUGAUGCUGACUAACAUGUACCGUUGUUUUGUUGUUUGUCAAUCCAAGAAAGGAGGAGCUGGAAACAAGUUCCAAACUGAUAGGUACUUAAGCAGAAUGGCGUCUUACACUACCAUCCACCAGUUCCAAUCACUGUGGCUAAUCACACCAUCAUUUUUCUUUUGCAGUCCGAUGUACAGCGAUAAGACCGAUAUUUUCGAUUUUGGGGUGAUCCUACUUGAGGUUGUGUCUGGGAAGACCAUCACAUCCAUGUAUGAGGUGGAUAUACUGAAAGAACUGGUAUGUGUCAUCAGUUCAUCACUCUCUCUUUCCGACAAUGCUAACUUUAUGAUCACCUGAAUGAACCUCAAUGUGCUGCAGCUUGCCUGGGCAAUCGCCGACGAGGACCGAGUCAGGAGGAGGAGCUUUGCAGACCCGGCGGUGAGCAAGGGGUGCUCAGACGAGUCACUGAGAACGGUCAUGGAGAUCUGCCAGAGAUGCCUAGCCAAGGAGGCAGCACAGAGGCCUUCAGUGGAGGACGUGCUCUGGAACCUGCAGUUCGCCGCCCAGGUGCAGGACGACUGGGAGGUGGAAGCGUGGAGCAGCGGUGGCGGAAGCCCGGUGUCGUCGUCAUCCAGGGUCACCAGGCCGUCUCGGCUGAACUUGAGCAGAUGAUCAGGUGAUUCUCCAGUAGAGCUCUCAUGCCCAUCCUGGCUCUAGUUGUGAAGCGACAUGAGACUGCUGCAGGUUGGAUCUGAGGAUGGAAACGUUGAGCCAGUGUACAGCAACUGCAGCUGAUGAAAUGCUGAAACCUGAAACGCACCACCACUUAAAACUACCCAUGGUGCAUAAACAACCAAGUGUGCAUUGUUUUUGUUUUGUCAGUGUAAAGUUCUUUUUUGGAUCCUUUUCUCCAUUGUUUUGCUAUCUAGAAGAAAAAUAAUGGUGUGCCUUUAGUAACAAUUUUCUCUAUGGGAGUACAAUCAAUAAUGAUGUAACAGGCAUGGCCUUGUGCGUUCUGAAUUUCGGCGAUCAUUUUGUAACUGCUGCUUGAGCUACCAUUUAUGAUUUAUCAUAAGAACAGGAUGAACAGCCUUCUCAGGAGUAUCUCGUGAGUGGACAUUCGUGCAGCGACAAAGAUGCGUGAUGCUUCUGUAAACCUAGCAGCAACUUGGCUUAGCUAUAAAACUUUUGCAUAUGCAUCAAUACCCGAGUUCAUGAAACCGUUCACCACUAUAUCAGAAAAAACGGCAGGCAGCAGUACAACAAGGGACUGAACCACAAGGACACAACAAUCGCUGAGGAUUUUAAUGGUUAUAAGCGGAUAAUACAGACCGGCCAAGUAUGAAAUGCAGAUGCUUAUUGCACCAUCUGGUGAAGCGGAUAGAAACUUAGUCGGCUGUCCAGCUCUGUUCCAC